CCUCUCAGCGGGGGACAACUUGCCGAAAGGCGGGCUAAUACCGCAUAACGCGGCCGGUUCACAGGAAUUGGCCGCCAAAGGCAGCCUCUGCUUGCACGCUGUCGCUGAGAGAUGAGCCCGCGUCCCAUUAGCUAGUUGGUGGGAUAACAGCCCACCAAGGCAACGAUGGGUAGCCGACCUGAGAGGGUGAUCGGCCACACUGGGACUGAGACACGGCCCAG
rnacentral:rRNA from 1 species